UGAGAUGAGGCUCAAGUGGCAGAGUUUCUGCUCGACAUGCAGAGCAUCCCGGGUUUGAUCCCCGACAUCUCCA
rnacentral:tRNA from 1 species